rnacentral:rRNA from 1 species
UACGAAGGGGGCUAGCGUUGCUCGGAAUCACUGGGCGUAAAGCGCACGUAGGCGGAUUGUUAAGUCAGGGGUGAAAUCCUGGAGCUCAACUCCAGAACUGCCUUUGAUACUGGCGAUCUCGAGUCCGGGAGAGGUGAGUGGAACUGCGAGUGUAGAGGUGAAAUUCGUAGAUAUUCGCAAGAACACCAGUGGCGAAGGCGGGUCUCUGGGCCGAUACUGACGCUGAGGAGCGAAAGCGUGGGGAGCGAACAGG